rnacentral:rRNA from 1 species
UACGUAGGGUGCAAGCGUUGUCCGGAAUUAUUGGGCGUAAAGAGCUCGUAGGCGGUCUGUCGCGUCUGCUGUGAAAACUCAGGGCUUAACCCUGAGCUUGCAGUGGGUACGGGCAGACUAGAGUGCGGUAGGGGAGACUGGAAUUCCUGGUGUAGCGGUGAAAUGCGCAGAUAUCAGGGAGGAACACCGGUGGCGAAGGGGGUCUCUGGGCCGUAACU